rnacentral:misc_RNA from 1 species
ACAAACUUGGUCAUUUAGAGGAAGUAAAAGUCGUAACAAGGUCUCCGUUGGUGAACCAGCGGAGGGAUCAUUACAAGAAGUCGAAAGGCUGCUUAAAACCAUCGCGAACCUAUCCAUCAGCGUUGCUUCGGCGGGAGGAGGCCGCGGGGCCGGCGUCUGCCGGGCCCGGGGCCGGGGACCCGCACCCCCUCGGGGCUGCGGGUCCCGCCGGCCGGAGGUAAGGAACUCUUCUGCAUCUUAGUGGAAUCUCUGAGUAAGCAAGCAAAUAAGUCAAAACUUUCAACAACGGAUCUCUUGGUUCUGGCAUCGAUGAAGAACGCAGC